rnacentral:rRNA from 1 species
AUUAUGAGAGUUUGAUCCUGGCUCAGGACGAACGCUGGCGGCGUGCCUAAUACAUGCAAGUCGAACGCACUGACGGAGAACUUGUUCUCUUGACGUGAGUGGCGCACGGGUGAGUAACACGUGGGAAACCUACCCUUCAGCGGGGGAUAACCAUCGGAAACGAUGACUAAUACCGCAUAGACGACAGAACCGCCUGGUUCAAUCGGGAAAG